rnacentral:lncRNA from 1 species
CAGAAUGUUUGCCCCAGCCUAAAGUUCCUUUGUGUGCUGAUGAAAGAAGCUACUGUCCUCGGGCUGCAGUAAACCACAGCGCCCCUGGGAAUAACAGCCACCGGGAAAACAUUAGCACCCAGGAGAACACCCACAGAUGCUUUGAGAAAACACAUUCACAGGGGAUAGUUCAUCAAAACAGGUGAUUCAAUCAACAAGUUUCUCUCACUGAAGUUCAGGAAGACUUUUCUGUCCCUUUCAUCUUGGAAUGAAGGACCUUAGAACCGGAAGUGAAAAGACCAAGCCGCCCAGAGAGGAAGCAUCUGUCCAAAAUCUCACAGUUAAUUGGGGUCAGGGCUUGGCCUGGCAUCCAGGUGCGCUGACGCUCGUGCUGGAGAGUCUUCUGCUUCCACAUUCUAAGGGGGAGUUUUGGAUGGUGAGAGCUGUUCAAAUGUGGAGCGGGCUCUUGGAUUUUAGCCUUGGUGAAUAGUGAAACGUCCCUCACCGGCUGUAUGGAACAGAGGUUGGAUAACCUCGCGACCUCUUGGAGGGGAUUUGAAGUUUUCUGGAGUAACGCAGUCACUCCCUCAGUCAUCUACACUGGCCUGCUGAUCUUCAAAAUCUCCCAGCCAUUCCUGGAGCAGCCUCCUCUGCCCAGAAGAAUGUGCUUGCAAUGUUUCCUUCCCUGGGGCAUCUCUGGAUUUUCAGCUUGUGGGGAUCCUGCGCCGCACUCAAGCAUGUGCUGCCUGAAAGUGCGAGGCAGUUAACACUCCACAGUGAAUUCUUAAACCAUAGAGGAUUUAUGAGCUGGUAGAUAAAUGUUAGUAGGCAAUUCUGAGAUGCAUUCUAGAGGGUUCCUCUGAAGGUCCGAGGGGAAUUGUGCCCCAGUCGCCCACUGUGGUGACCGACUUGAUAUUAUGCAUCAUGCCCUUACAUGGGUGUCCCCUCUCCCCAUGUUUCACUAUCCACAGUCUCCCACUUCUGUUCCCAGGCUCAUCUUCCAAAACAAACUACCUGCAUGCAAGACGUUGACUCAGGUUCUGCAUUCCAGGGGCAUCUCAGUCUAAGACAUUUACUGUGGCUGUCUACCUCUUCCUCUAUCUCAAUCAAUUAAAUGGCCUAAUUGAUAUUUACCUGCCAUGAGAAGCAUGGAGUUCCCUAGACUCCUACUCAUUUUUGUCCCCACAGCACACACACUAGUGACUGGCACAUGGUGGGUGUUCUGAAAAUUACGAAUAAAUG